CAGCCGCCGCGGUAAGACGAACCGUGCGAACGUUAUUCGGAAUCACUGGGCUUAAAGCGCGUGUAGGCGGAUGGGAGCGUCGGCCUCUGAAAUCCCCCGGCUCAACCGGGGAAGUGGAGCCGAAACGACCCGUCUGGAGGGACGUAGGGGGACCUGGAACUUCCGGUGGAGCGGUGAAAUGCGUUGAGAUCGGAAGGAACGCCCGUGGCGAAAGCGAGGUCCUGGACGUCUGCUGACGCUGAGACGCGAAAGCCAGGGGAGCGAACGGGAUUAGAUACCCCCGUAGUCCCUGUCUCUUAUA
rnacentral:rRNA from 1 species